CAAGAGAUAGAGAUUGUUAAGUGUGUCUAAUGGAGUGUUGUACUCUUCUCAUUUCAUGUUUGUUAGGUUAGGUUUAAUAAGCCCAUUAUAUAUACUCCUUGAUGGUAAGUUUUGUCUCAAGUUAAAGUAUCACCUUCUUUUGAUAAAAUAAAAUAAAGGUCAAUCCGUAGCUUUUACAUACGUGUCAUGAUUUUCGGUCAAUUAGUUAGGUUAAUUUUUGAUCCAAUCCAUAGUGUUUCAGCGAUUGUUAGUUGGUUGCCUGUGUUUGCUGUUGGAUCAGUCCAGUUCAUAGAUCUGGGGGGAGGGAGAGAUUGGAGAGUGGGCGGCCACGAAGUUGAAGACGAUUUUUUUUUUUUUAGGUUGAAAUGCCUUAUUUUCUUUUUUUGGAAAGCAUGUGUUAUUCUUUAGUUUGUACAUAUCAAUUUCUCUACACAUUAAUGUAGAAUGUGAUUGCAGAUUUGCCCGAUCUUCUUCAAAUCAUUUGGGGGGAGGGAGAGACUGGAGAGUGCGCGGCCACGAAGUUGAAGACGAUUUUUUCUUUUUUUUUUAGGUUGAAAUGCCUUAUUUUCUUUUUUUGGAAAGCAUGUGUUAUUCUUUAGUUUGUACAUAUCAAUUUCUCUACACAUUAAUGUAGAAUGUGAUUGCAGAUUUGCCCGAUCUUCUUCAAAUCAUUUGGGAAAAAAAAAAAAAAGUGUGUGUGUAUCUAUUAUAUAAAGCAAAUUAUUGGGAAUGAUGGUUAAAUUGCAAGAGAUAGAGAUUGUUAAGUGUGUGUGUCUAAUGAAGUGUGGUACUCUUCUCAUUUCAUGUUUGUUAGGUUAGGUUUAAUAAGUCAAUUAUAUAUACUCCUUGAUGGUAAGUUUUGUCUCAAGUUAAAGUAUCACCUUCUUUUGAUAAAAUAAAAUAAAGGUCAAUCCGUAGCUUUUACAUACGUGUCAUGAUUUUCGGUCAAUUAGUUGGGUUAAUUUUUGAUCCAAUCCAUAGUGUUUCAGCGAUUGUUAGUUGGCUGCCUGUGCUUGCUGUUGGAUCAGCCCAGUUCAUAGAUCUGCUCCUCCUACUUGCAUGGUUGCAGCAAUGAGAUGAAGACCCAGUUUGGGAUUGAUUCCCAAGCUGCUUUUGAACUAAGAAGUGCUUUUGGGCCCAGAUCAAGGUGUUUGGUAAAAUUCCUUAAAGUUGAUUUUCGUCGAAGCUCCUUCUCCCAACCGCUGUUUCUGAGAAGCAGCAAUUCCUAGCUUUUAGAAUUUGCUUCUGCGGAACCACUCCGAAAAAACACGGAGCUUUUAAUGAAAUAUAUUCAAAUUCCUAUUUUGCCCUAAUCCUCAUUGGAACAAAUGGGGAGAGAGGGCCUCUACUUCUCCUCCUCUCAGCCCAUAGUAGCCCAAAGAAAGAAAGAAAGAAAUUAUCUGCAACCUUCCUCACCUCCUCGGACGCGGACGCGCAGCACACUUCGAGUCCUUGCCUAGUCGCCUCCUCGGCGCAGCAAUUAGAUGAGAUGCAGCCAGUUCUUCUCUUCGUGAUGUUGAGUCGAGUUCUUCUUCCUCCUGUACUGAUUUCAUUGCAGACUUGCAGUCAUCUUCUCCGGCUUUCCCCAUCCAAGCUUGCUUUGUUUUCUGAGUUGCUGCAAAACGGAGGUAUUUGAUUGAGAACAAUUCAUGGUCUAUGCUUGAGUCUGGAUCAGCCUGGCUUGUUGCUUUCUAAACUCAUUUGUAGCGGUGAGUUAUUAAUAGCUCAUGUAGGACAACCUAGGGUCUGAUAAAAAUCAUAAAAUGCAUGUAAUCUUUCUGAUUAUCCAAUUAAUGAUCACUACUGUGCUGUCUGUUUGUUCAAAACUGUUAUCACCUAUCUGAUGCCUCUUCCCUAUGCUCUCUGAUAUAUGCAAUUAUCUGAAUAAUGGUUCUUUUGUUGAAAAUUGAAAAUGAAGAUGCUGUUGAUUCUUAUGCAUAUGGUUAUCAAAUUGAUUUGGUUUAUAUAGAGCAGGGUCGUGAAAGUGAGAGAUUAGUGAUGACUAUAGGCAGAUGAGUGGGAGUGAGUGUCUCAGGUCCUUGAUGAUCACUGUAAACCAAUGCCACAAGCAUAUAUUCUUCCAUAGCUAUCUGCUUAAUUUCAAAAUCAGACCCACCUCAGCUAUCAGUCUUCACAAGCACUGUCGUGGGAGUGUAAUCAGUUUGUGCUUCGAGGAAUAUAGUAAUGCAGCCAAUGCUUGCGUUUCGGAUGAUUAUCUAGUUCAUCAAAAUGAAGGUGGUCCAAAGGGGAUCGAUUCGUUGCAUUUUAUGGAAGCACGUUGCAUUUUAGUUUGUUUGAUUGUUUUGAGUUUUGACAGGGAAAUUUUUUGCUGUAAACUUGAAUCAAUUCUUGUGCUUCUUUAAUUGAGAAUGUUGUAAGAAGGAUGACUUCUUCGAGUAUGCUUUGGUCAUUGUACAAGUCUAUGUGAUAAUUUAAGGAUUGACCUUUAGGUUUUGUGUACUUUGAUUUUACUGUUGUUUUGUAUUCAUCAUCAGUAGUCUCCGUUUUGGAUCAAUAUCAUUUCAAUGAAUUAAACUUC